GCUGGGCGCCGUGGCAUGCACCGUAGUCCCAGCUGCUCGGGAGACUGAGGCUGGAGGACCGCUUGAGCCCAAGAGUUCUGGGCUGUAGUGCACUAUGCUGGUUGGGUAUCUGCACUAAAUUCAGCAUAAUAUGGUGGCUUACCUGGAGCAGGGGACCACCAGGUUGCCUAAGGAGGGGUGAACUGGCCCAGGUUGGAAACAGAACAGGCCAAAACUCCCGUGCUAAUCGGUGGUGGGACCACUCCUAUGAACAGCCACUGCACUCCAGCCUGGGCAACAUAGCAAGACCCCGUCUCUU
rnacentral:SRP_RNA from 1 species